UAAGCAUUUCGAAAUUCCAGCGUCUUGCCACGUGUCCACCGUUGUGAGCUUCCUCACUCUCUCCAUCCAUCUCCCGCCAUUCUCUCUCUCCCUCUCACCGAAUCAAACUCUCUCUCUCUCUCUCUCUCUGUCUCUCUCUCUCCCUCUCUCUCUCUCUGUCUCUGUUAACCAAAAUGAUCUCUGCAAUUUCAUGAACCAAAGUUGAUUGUUCGAUGAAGCAAUCUGGCUAUGUUUCUUGUUUGAUUAAGCUAAUUAUUUAGAGAUGGCUAGAAAUUUAGAUUGGACGAGGCAAACACCGCCUGGAAUUUUGCUUAUAAGAAGUUUAAGAGGUAGAGAUUGGAAUCUAAAAACCUAUAGAUAUAUGGUCUUGUUGGUUACUUUCAUAGCAUAUACUUGUUAUCAUGCAUCAAGAAAACCGAGCAGCAUAGUCAAGAGUGUGUUAGAUCCUGACCCAAACACACCGCCUUCAGGUGAGUCCCCUUGGCCAAUUGGUAACAUCUUUAUCAAAGAUGAACUCAUGGGCACAAACAAAAGUAGCCACUUGAAAAAGGGUUGGCAUCCAUUUAAUGGACCAGACGGGACAUCAAAAUUGGGUGAGAUUGAUGUUGCUUUUCUUUCUUGUUACUCUUUAGGUAUGUAUGUUGCCGGGCAUUUGGGUGAUACUUUAGAUUUGAGAUUGUUUUUAACAUCUGGAAUGAUUGGCAGCGGAUUUUUUGUCGGGUUAUUUGGUAUGGGAUACUUUUGGAAGAUUCAUGUUUUUUGGUUUUAUUUGGUUAUGCAAAUGCUUGCUGGGUUAUUCCAAGCCACAGGUUGGCCUUCUGUUGUGGCUGUGAUUGGUAAUUGGUUUGGAAAAAGAAGGAGAGGAUUGAUUAUGGGUGUUUGGAACGCACAUACUUCAGUUGGUAAUAUUAGUGGGUCUCUCCUUGCUGCUAGUGUUUUAGAUUAUGGGUGGGGAUGGUCUUUUAUAGCUCCUGGUGCAUUUAUUGUAAUGGGAGGGAUAUUAGUUUUCUUGUUUUUGGCUGCUUAUCCAGAAGAUGUAGGAUUUCCUUGUGCAAAUGGGUGUGAACAAAAGGUAGAGCCUGCGUCUAGUGAUAUGGAAGCUGAGAGACAUAAAGGUAGAAAAGGUCGAGUGGACAAGAAUGAUAAUGUCCAGGCUGCAUCUACGUCUAAGAGAGGCGUGGGACUUAUUCAAGCUUGUCUCAUACCAGGAGUCAUACCAUUUGCCUUAUGUUUAUUUUUCUCCAAGCUUGUGGCUUACACAUUUUUGUAUUGGCUACCAUUUUACUUGAGCCAGACAGAAAUUGGUGGAGAGUCCAUGUCUGUGAAGUCCGCUGGAAACCUGUCUACUCUAUUUGAUGUUGGGGGUAUUGUUGGUGGGAUCCUUGCUGGUUACGCAUCUGAUAAACUUAAAGCUCGGGCUAUUACAGCAGCCAGUUUUAUGUAUGCCGCAAUUCCUUCAAUGUUCUUAUACCGCGCAUAUGGUAGUGUCUCAAAGACUAUGAACAUUAUACUUAUGAUGAUUGCUGGCUUAUUUGUAAAUGGGCCAUAUGCACUCAUCACAACUGCAGUUUCUGCUGACCUAGGCACACACAGUUCUCUUAAGGGGGAUUCUCGAGCACUGGCUACUGUCACUGCCAUUAUUGAUGGUACUGGAUCAAUGGGUGCAGCUCUUGGUCCGCUUUUCACUGGGUUCCUCUCAACAAUGGGAUGGGAUGCAGUUUUUAUCAUGCUGAUGACUGGGGCUCUUGUUGCGGGGCUUCUCUUAUCACGUCAGGUCAUAACUGAAAUUUCUGAGAAAACUAGUAUACUGAGGCAGUCACCCAGCGGACGUUUAAUUCAUGAAGCUCCUGCAUCCCAACCACUUUUAAGUGAUCAAAGGUGAAUAUCAGGCGAGGCGUCGUGAAGAUUUAUUAGAAGUGAGAGAAUCAAGAUAAAAAUUCAAAGGUGUUGGAAAUGACAUGUCGUUUGCAGUAGUUUGAGGGGGAGGUUGGAUUUUUUUUUUUUCCUCUUUUGGGUGCAUAAUUAGCCCCUUUGGACUUGAAUGUCUGAAACUCAAGGCACCUUGAAAAUACUCUUUGCCUUAUUGGUUAGUAUCUUCCACAAAUAUGGCCUUUUCAGACAACCUGCAACAAGCUGUUUUGUUGUCUAGAAUUUGAAACAAAAUAUUGACAUCUGUUCCUUAUGUAAGAUUCUGAUUUUUUCCCCCCUCAAAUUUAGAACAUGCGAACAUAACUUCA